UACGUAGGGUGCGAGCGUUAAUCGGAAUUACUGGGCGUAAAGCGGGCGCAGACGGUUACUUAAGCGGGAUGUGAAAUCCCCGGGCUCAACCCGGGAACUGCGUUCCGAACUGGGUGGCUAGAGUGUGUCAGAGGGGGGUAGAAUUCCACGUGUAGCAGUGAAAUGCGUAGAGAUGUGGAGGAAUACCGAUGGCGAAGGCAGCCCCCUGGGAUAACACUGACGUUCAUGCCCGAAAGCGUGGGUAGCAAACAGG
rnacentral:rRNA from 1 species